UGAACGCUGGCGGCGUGCCUAAUACAUGCACGUCGAGCGAACAGACGAGGAGCUUGCUCCUCUGACGUUAGCGGCGGACGGGUGAGUAACACGUGGAUAACCUACCUAUAAGACUGGGAUAACUUCGGGAAACCGGAGCUAAUACCGGAUAAUAUAUUGAACCGCAUGGUUCAAUAGUGAAAGACGGUUUUGCUGUCACUUAUAGAUGGAUCCGCGCCGCAUUAGCUAGUUGGUAAGGUAACGGCUUACCAAGGCAACGAUGCGUAGCCGACCUGAGAGGGUGAUCGGCCACACUGGAACUGAGACACGGUCCAGACUCCUACGGGAGGCAGCAGUAGGGAAUCUUCCGCAAUGGGCGAAAGCCUGACGGAGCAACGCCGCGUGAGUGAUGAAGGUCUUCGGAUCGUAAAACUCUGUUAUUAGGGAAGAACAAAUGUGUAAGUAACUAUGCACGUCUUGACGGUACCUAAUCAGAAAGCCACGGCUAACUACGU
rnacentral:rRNA from 1 species